GAUGGCUUCCACGAAGCACGUGUGCCCCUACGAAGAUUGUCAAAAGUCAUUUUCGAGACCUAGCAGAUUAGAAUGCCAUCUAAGAACCCACACAGGAGAGCGUCCAUAUGUCUGCAAAUGGCCAGGUUGCAACAAGAGCUACAGCAGGUCCCAACAUUUGAGAAGACAUGAGGAAACUUGGCACUGUACUGAGUCUGAGGAGGAGAAAAAAGUAAAACAGAUAAGGUAUAAUUAUUAGUGUUCAUGAUAUCUAUUUUUCAAAGAUUUUGAAAAUAUGCCAGAGUUGCAGUUCAAAUGCGUUCUCCAUAUGUUAAAAAAAA